GAUCAUUAGUGAAUAUAGGACGUCCAACUUAACUUGGAGUCCGAACUCUCACUUUCUAACCCUGUGCACUUGUUUGGGAUAGUAACUCUCGCAAGAGAGCGAACUCCUAUUCACUUAUAAACACAAAGUCUAUGAAUGUAUUAAAUUUUAUAACAAAAUAAAACUUUCAACAACGGAUCUCUUGGCUCUCGCAUCGAUGAAGAACGCAGCGAAAUGCGAUAAGUAAUGUGAAUUGCAGAAUUCAGUGAAUCAUCGAAUCUUUGAACGCACCUUGCGCUCCAUGGUAUUCCGUGGAGCAUGCCUGUUUGAGUGUCAUGAAUACUUCAACCCUCCUCUUUCUUAAUGAUUGAAGAGGUGUUUGGUUUCUGAGCGCUGCUGGCCUUUACGGUCUAGCUCGUUCGUAAUGCAUUAGCAUCCGCAAUCGAAUUUCGGAUUGACUUGGCGUAAUAGACUAUUCGCUGAGGAAUUCUAGUCUUCGGAUUAGAGCCGGGUUGGGUUAAAGGAAGCUUCUAAUCAGAAUGUCUACAUUUUAAGAUUAGAUCUCAAAUCAGGUAGGACUACCCGCUGAACU
rnacentral:misc_RNA from 1 species